UUCCCUGUAGUUCAGUUGGUAAAGAAUCUGCCUUCAAUGCAGGAGACCCAAGUUCGAUUUCUGGGUUGGGAAG
rnacentral:tRNA from 1 species